rnacentral:rRNA from 1 species
GCUAGAGUUUGAUCCUGGCUCAGAUUGAACGCUGGCGGCAGGCCUAACACAUGCAAGUCGAGCGGAUGAGUGGAGCUUGCUCCAUGAUUCAGCGGCGGACGGGUGAGUAAUGCCUAGGAAUCUGCCUGGUAGUGGGGGACAACGUUUCGAAAGGAACGCUAAUACCGCAUACGUCCUACGGGAGAAAGUGGGGGAUCUUCGGACCUCACGCUAUCAGAUGAGCCUAGGUCGGAUUAGCUAGUUGGUGAGGUAAAGGCUCACCAAGGCGACGAUCCGUAACUGGUCUGAGAGGAUGAUCAGUCACACUGGAACUGAGACACGGUCCAGACUCCUACGGGAGGCAGCAGUGGGGAAUAUUGGACAAUGGGCGAAAGCCUGAUCCAGCCAUGCCGCGUGUGUGAAGAAGGUCUUCGGAUUGUAAAGCACUUUAAGUUGGGAGGAAGGGCAGUAAGUUAAU